GUAACUCUCCCACGCUCGCUAGUGGAGGCUGCAGCUCCCAGUGGCAUCUCACGCAAAAACUGGAGUGCAAGAAUAAAACAGUUCCAAGAAAUGGCAAACGAAUCGUCUUCGGCACGCACUUGAAUUGCUGUUGUUUCAAAGAUGCGGGUUCUAGAUGUGCAGCGCACCCUCCUUGCU